rnacentral:rRNA from 1 species
UUGCCAGCCCGCUCAGUCAGAGUUUGAUCCUGGCUCAGGAUGAACGCUGGCGGCGUGCCUAAUACAUGCAAGUCGAGCGAACAGAUAAGGAGCUUGCUCCUUUGACGUUAGCGGCGGACGGGUGAGUAACACGUGGGUAACCUACCUAUAAGACUGGAAUAACUCCGGGAAACCGGGGCUAAUGCCGGAUAAUAUUUAGAACCGCAUGGUUCUAAAGUGAAAGAUGGUUUUGCUAUCACUUAUAGAUGGACCCGCGCCGUAUUAGCUAGUUGGUGGGGUAAUGGCUUACCAAGGCAACGAUACGUAGCCGACCUGAGAGGGUGAUCGGCCACACUGGAACUGAGACACGGUCCAG